rnacentral:rRNA from 1 species
CCGGGUUGCGGACAGUGUCUGGUGGGUAGUUUGACUGGGGCGGUCUCCUCCUAAAGAGUAACGGAGGAGCACGAAGGUUAGCUAAUCCUGGUCGGACAUCAGGAGGUUAGUGCAAAGGCAUAAGCUAGCUUGACUGCGAGAGUGACGGCUCGAGCAGGUGCGAAAGCAGGUCUUAGUGAUCCGGUGGUUCUGAAUGGAAGGGCCAUCGCUCAACGGAUAAAAGGUACUCCGGGGAUAACAGGCUGAUACCGCCCAAGAGUUCAUAUCGACGGCGGUGUUUGGCACCUCGAUGUCGGCUCAUCACAUCCUGGGGCUGAAGUAGGUCCCAAGGGUAUGGCUGUUCGCCAUUUAAAGUGGUACGCGAGCUGGGUUUAGAACGUCGUGAGACAGUUCGGUCCCUAUCUGCCGUGGGCGCUGGAGAAUUGAGGGGGGCUGCUCCUAGUACGAGAGGACCGGAGUGGACGCAUCACUGGUGUUCGGGUUGUCAUGCCAAUGGCAUUGCCCGGUAGCUAAAUGCGGAAGAGAUAAGUGCUGAAAGCAUCUAAGCACGAAACUUGCCCCGAGAUGAGUUCUC